UAUAUCUUUUUAGAAACUGUAUGCAGAGGUGCUCCACCGAUACCUCAAUGUACAGCACGUUACGAGAAGUGUGUGCCUGGUGCGAUUGAUCCUUGUUGCGAAGGCAACGAAUGCAUGGAUUGCAAGGUCGAGGACGUGAUUUGCGACUCGAAACGAAGCAGAAAAGAUUAUUGGUGCAAGAGAUCGCAAAAUGUUCGUUGGCAAUGCCCUAGAAUGUGUAACGUCUGCGAACACAGAUGUAUCAAAAAAGAUGUCAAAAAAAUUUGGAAAAUAUGGCGACACAUGAAAGCAUUCUAUUGAAGUCAGCCUCUUAUUUAUUAAUAUAAGUAUAUAAAUGGAUAGAAAUACCUCCAGAAAGCAUGUCAGCGCAUGUUCGGCUUGUUAAUCUUGUUUCAACUAUACUGUAAAAAGACAAUAUGCUAUUAUUAUUUUAUUAUUGUGAAAAAGGCAGAAAAAGAAUCGCUUUUUUGACAAUCUUACAAAGGAAAUGGUCAUAACGUCCAUUAUUUUUUAAUUCAUAACUAUUAAAAUAUCUUUAAAUUAAGAAUU